CCCCUCUCAGGGUCGCAUCUGGAGAGUUUCCAGUAUCCUACCAGUCUCGGCUAUAGGAGGGAGAGUCAAGCAGAGGCCUGUCCAUUCCAUUCCUAGCUUGGGCAGCGGCUAGCGAGUGGGAGGCGAUCUGCUACAAAC